UAUUGCAAACAAUGUAAUAUCCCUCGCUUUUAAAAAUUAUUAAUAAAGAUUUAUAUGUAAAUUGGAGGACCUAUAUGUAAAUAUAGAAAUUACAAGGACUAAACGCUAAGUUGCAAAAAAAAAAAAGAAAAAAAAAGGGAAAACCGAAAAUUCGGUAUUAUCCCACCGCCUCCCACGCACUCUGUUUCUUCCAGAAACAGAGAGAGCGGUGGGGCGUGAGGAGAAGAAGGAGAGUGGUAGAAGAAGAGAGGAAGAAGAGGGAGAAGAGAAGAAGAAGAAGAAGAAGAAGAAGAAGAAGAAGAAGAGGGAAAAGAAGAGAGGAGGAAGAAGAGGGAGUAGAGAAGAAGAAGAAGGAGAAGAAGAAGAAGAGGAGGUGGCUGCAGCGAGGGCUGCAGCGAGAAGCUGUGGGGCGUGGGGAGAAGAAGAGAGGAAGAAGAGGGAGAAGAGAAGAAGAAGAAGAAGAAGAAGAGAAGAGGAUAGCUGCGGCAAGGCUGCAGCGAGGAGGUGUGUGGGGUUGGGGAGGAAAAGGGAAGAGGAGAAGAAGAGGGAAAAGAGAGGGAAGAGGGAGAGGAGCGAGAGGUGGCAGCAGCUAGGGCUGCAGCACCUCUGUUUCCUGCAGGUGGAAACAGAGGAGAGGUGUGGGGCGUUCGAAGAGGAGAAGAAGAAGAAGAGGAAGAGAAGAGGAAGAGGAAGCAGGGGAAGAGGUUGUGAUACCUCUGUUUCCUGCAGAGGAAACAGAGGAGAGGGUGUGGGUGACGUCGGGGAGAAGAAGGGGAGGAAGGAGAAGAAGAGAAGAAGAAGAAAGGAAGGAAAAGGAAGAGGAGAAGGGAAGAAAGUAGCUGCGGCUGCGGUUGUGGCAGCUGCAGCUGUGGCAGGGAAAGAAGAAGAGAAAGGAAGAAGGAGAGGAGAGGAAGAAGAGUAGGGGCUGCGGCUGCGGCGAUGGCAGCUGCAGUUGGAAGAGAAGAAGGAGAGGAAGAUGAGCAGGGGAGGAAGAAAAGGCUGUGGCCGUGGCUGAGGCUGCGACUGCAGCAUGCAGCUGGGAAAUAAGAGAAGGAAAGGAAGAAGAAGAGAAAGGAAGAAGGGAAGGAGAGGAAGAAGAGAAGGGGCUGCGGCUGCGGCGAUGGCAGCUGCAGUUGGAAGAGAAGAAGGAGAGGAAGAUGAGCAGGGGAGGAAGAAAAGGCUAUGGCCGUGGCUGAGGCUGCGACUGCAGCAUGUAGCUGGGAAAGAAGAGAAGGAAAGGAAGAAGAAGAGAAAGGAAGAAGGGAAGGAGAGGAAGAAGAGAAGGGGCUACGGCUGCGGCGAUGGCAGCUGCAGUUGGAAGAGAAGAAGGAGAGGAAGAUGAGCAGGGGAGGAAGAAGAGGCUGCGAGUGUGGUGGCUGUGGCCGUGGCUGCGACUCCGGCUGCGGCUGCAACGUUGGCUGCGGUAGCUGCGGCAGCGGUGGUGGCUGCAGUAGCUGCUUUUGGGAAAGAGAAAGAGUAGGAACGAGAGAAGGGAAGAAGGAAAUAGUGCAGUGGAAGGGGGCUGCGGUUGUGACCGCAGUUGCGGUCGUGGCUGCGAUUGUGGCAGCGGCAGCGGCGGCGGCUGUGGCAGCUGCAUUUGGGAAAGAAAAAAGAAGGAAUGAGAGUAAGAGAGAGCAGGUGACUGUGCCUCGAUGUUCGACACGUGAUGUAGUUGCGAAGAAAGGAAGAAAACGGGAGCACAAAACGAAACAGAGAGAGGACACGGAGAAAAAGUAGAAGGAUUUGGGCUGGCACCUUCUUUGGAUCUUCGGAUCGAAAUCUUUGAAAGGUCAGCUUGUCACUCUUCGAGAUGUUUGAUUUGGGCUGAGGCAGUGGAUAGCUAUUCAGAAUAAUGGGCAAGUCUGGUUGGUUAUUACGAUAUUGUUGUAUAAGUAUGUCUUGUAUGUAAUGAAAUGUUGUCGAUGAACCGAAAUGGAUAUACUGUGUCAAAGUGUUAGGAGAUCUCUCUUAUUUGGAAUUUCAGAAUGUUAAGUCUAAUUUAUGGUGAUAUGAACUUGUGGUGAAUAGUUGGAGUUCUGAUUGUAUAAUUUAUUUAGCUUGUGGAUUUAUAAAUAUUGUUCAUGUUUGUCAAGUUGGCUUGGGUUGCCAUAAAUGUGAAUUAUCGAGUGAUGUGAUAUAUGAUUAUAAACUGCACAGGUUUUAUGGAUGUGAAUAUGAAUAGAAUGUUUUCAGUGUCCUCAAACGUUAGUUUGGAUCCUGGAUUGGUCUGUGACGAAAAUUUUAAAAAUCAUGGUUAUUUUGAGGGGCGUGACAGAGGUGGUAUCAGAGCAUUGUUUGAGGAUUACUGAAAUAUUUGAUAUGUUGACGUCCAAAAUAUAUUGAGGUCUAAUGAACUAUAGUGAUUGGUGGAAAUUUUCUUUGAUGUAUUUUAGGAAUCUGGGAUGAUGAGGACAUUUGGUCCUCCUAUUUCAUUGUUUCUGAUUAAUUAAGGGGAAUGAAAGGAUUGAUUGGGGAUAUUGAAUCAGAGUGGCGCAGCGGAAGCAUGGUGGACCUAAUUUCAUUGGUGGUAGAAAAAUGAAUGAUGCAAACAGAGAAGAUAUUUGAUGUACAAAAUUGUUUUGAUGAUCAAAAGAUUUCUUUUGCCACCUUAUAUUGGAAGUAGAGGCUGAUUAUUAUUGGCAACAAUGAAAAGAAUUUUUGGAGAUCAGUGACAAGAAUGAUAAGGACAAGUUUACCAAUAAGAAUAUGAUUGGAAAUGAAUCAGAAAGUAAUGACAAGAGGGUCAAAACAUUUGGAUUUGAAAAGGAAAGUCACCACCAAAGACUUAAUCAUGUGUGAAUUACAAGUUAAAUUAUGAAACAAGUUUGUGUUUUCGGGUGAUUGGAGUCUAUUUUGCUUGUAGAAAGUUGGAUCAUAAAAUAAAAGUUUACCCUUUGAACAAGAAGAAAGAGUCACUGCCUCCUAAAUCAUCAGCCCAUGUAAGAGUGUAUGCUAUCACUGAAUAUGAUUCUGAAACUUCUGAAUUAGUGGUCAAAGGUAUUAUGCAUGUUUAUGAAAGAAUGCAAAUAUUUGUUCGACCAUGGGUCCAAUCUACGAUUUGAUUCGUAAUAUUUUGCUUAUCACUUGGGUAUUCAACCUAGACCACUACAUUAUGUGCUAUAAGUAAAUACGAUCAUUGGAGAUUCUUUGAUAACGAAGUUGAAUCUAGUCCUCUUGUCUGAUUCUUAUUGGAGAACUUGAACUUUUGCUGAUUUAGUUCUCCUAGAGAUUUGGAGUUUUGAUAUUAUACUUGGUAUGGAUUGGCUAUCUUCCUAACAUACCAGUAUGGAUUGGUAUAUAACAAAUGAUCACUUUUUGCAUAUUUGAUCAGCCGAUCUUUUAUUUUGAGAGUAUUGGACAUUAUUUAUCUCCUUGCCUAAUGUAUCCCAGGAUGACUUGUUUGGAUUACCUCCAAAUGUGAUUUUGCUUUUGAUUUGGUCCUUGGGACAAUCCUAAAAUCUAAGCCUCUCUACAGAAAGAUAUCAUUUGAGUAAGUGGAAUUAGAAAAGCAACUACAAGGAUUAUUAAAUGAGGAUUUUAUUUGGCUUAAUAUUUCAUCAUGGGGUGCUCCGGUGUUAGUUAAAAGAAAUGUAUGGAACAUUGAGGCUUUGUAAUGAUUAUAGACAGUUGAAUUAGGUGACCAUCAAAAACGAGUAUUUUCUGAAGUAACGACUUGCUCGAUUAAUUACAGGGUACGCAAGUAUUUUUAGAAAUUGAUUGAAGGUCGGGUUACCGUCUAUUGAGGAUCAAGGAGGAGAAUAUUUCGGUCACUCGUGGAAAAUUAUGUAAUUGUAUUGUAUUGAUGAAACUAUUUAAGAGUAGGAGGAGGAAAUAAAGAUAUCAUAAUCCUCAUCUUUUCAUCGAUUGAGCUAUGAUCAAUUUAGAGGACUAAAUUUUCUUUUAAGGGGGAGAGAGUGUAAUAUCCCUCGCUUUUAAAAAUUAUUAAUAAAGAUUUAUAUGUAAAUUGGAGGACCUAUAUGUAAAUAUAGAAAUUACAAGGACUAAACUGCUAAGUUGCAAAAAAAAAAAGAAAAAAAAAGGGAAAACCGAAAAUUCGGUAUUAUCCCACCGCCUCCCACGCACUCUGUUUCUUCCAGAAACAGAGAGAGCGGUGGGGCGUGAGGAGAAGAAGGAGAGUGGUAGAAGAAGAGAGGAAGAAGAGGGAGAAGAGAAGAAGAAGAAGAAGAAGAAGAAGAAGAAGAAGAAGAAGAGGGAAAAGAAGAGAGGAGGAAGAAGAGGGAGUAGAGAAGAAGAAGAAGGAGAAGAAGAAGAAGAGGAGGUGGCUGCAGCGAGGGCUGCAGCGAGAAGCUGUGGGGCGUGGGGAGAAGAAGAGAGGAAGAAGAGGGAGAAGAGAAGAAGAAGAAGAAAAAGAAGAGAAGAGGAUAGCUGCGGCAAGGCUGCAGCGAGGAGGUGUGUGGGGUUGGGGAGGAAAAGGGAAGAGGAGAAGAAGAGGGAAAAGAGAGGGAAGAGGGAGAGGAGCGAGAGGUGGCAGCAGCUAGGGCUGCAGCACCUCUGUUUCCUGCAGGUGGAAACAGAGGAGAGGUGUGGGGCGUUCGAAGAGGAGAAGAAGAAGAAGAGGAAGAGAAGAGGAAGAGGAAGCAGGGGAAGAGGUUGUGAUACCUCUGUUUCCUGCAGAGGAAACAGAGGAGAGGGUGUGGGUGACGUCGGGAAGAAGAAGGGGAGGAAGGAGAAGAAGAGAAGAAGAAGAAAGGAAGGAAAAGGAAGAGGAGAAGGGAAGAAAGUAGCUGCGGCUGCGGUUGUGGCAGCUGCAGCUGUGGCAGGGAAAGAAGAAGAGAAAGGAAGAAGGAGAGGAGAGGAAGAAGAGUAGGGGCUGCGGCUGCGGCGAUGGCAGCUGCAGUUGGAAGAGAAGAAGGAGAGGAAGAUGAGCAGGGGAGGAAGAAAAGGCUGUGGCCGUGGCUGAGGCUGCGACUGCAGCAUGCAGCUGGGAAAUAAGAGAAGGAAAGGAAGAAGAAGAGAAAGGAAGAAGGGAAGGAGAGGAAGAAGAGAAGGGGCUGCGGCUGCGGCGAUGGCAGCUGCAGUUGGAAGAGAAGAAGGAGAGGAAGAUGAGCAGGGGAGGAAGAAAAGGCUGUGGCCGUGGCUGAGGCUGCGACUGCAGCAUGUAGCUGGGAAAGAAGAGAAGGAAAGGAAGAAGAAGAGAAAGGAAGAAGGGAAGGAGAGGAAGAAGAGAAGGGGCUACGGCUGCGGCGAUGGCAGCUGCAGUUGGAAGAGAAGAAGGAGAGGAAGAUGAGCAGGGGAGGAAGAAGAGGCUGCGAGUGUGGUGGCUGCGGCCGUGGCUGCGACUCCGGCUGCGGCUGCAACGUUGGCUGCGGUAGCUGCGGCAGCGGUGGUGGCUGCAGUAGCUGCUUUUGGGAAAGAGAAAGAGUAGGAACGAGAGAAGGGAAGAAGGAAAUAGUGCAGUGGAAGGGGGCUGCGGUUGUGACCGCAGUUGCGGUCGUGGCUGCGAUUGUGGCAGCGGCAGCGGCGACGGCUGUGGCAGCUGCGUUUGGGAAAGAAAAAAGAAGGAAUGAGAGUAAGAGAGAGCAGGUGACUGUGCCUCGAUGUUCGACACGUGAUGUAGUUGCGAAGAAAGGAAGAAAACGGGAGCACAAAACGAAACAGAGAGAGGACACGGAGAAAAAGUAGAAGGAUUUGGGCUGGCACCUUCUUUGGAUCUUCGGAUCGAAAUCUUUGAAAGGCAAGUUUCCCACUUGUUUCGAUCCUUUCUAUUGCAAGUUCCCUGAUCGUUUCUCCUAUAAUUGCUCUGAUAUGUCUUAUUGCAAGUAUCCUGAUCUUCCUCACUGCCAUUUUUAUCUCUACAUUUGCUUUGAAUAUGAGGAACUUUGAAUUGUUCUAGCCUUGCAUUUGUUAUAUCUCCUGUUUAAACGUAACGAUUCGAAUCUGUGCAACUUUUGAGAUUCUGACCUUUUGAUACCGAGCUGCCUAUAAGUCUUUGUUGGAAACUCUGAUUUGUUCAAUACUGAUUUCAUUGGAAACUAGACUCGUAGACCUUUCUUUGAUAUAUGGAUUGAAAGAUUUGGAAUCCAAACACCUGCCCAGUUAUCUGUUGAAUCUGACAUUAUGAAUUCUGCCAACAGAGAUUUUGUUCUAUGACUCUUGCUUACCAAAUUAUUUGUAACUCUCUCUGUUGGACAGUUCAAUUCAUAUGAAGCCUAUCUUAUCUGAAAAUAUUAUCCAAUGAUUAUUUCUGAGUAAAUUGGAGCACGAUUGAUAGUUUGAAUCAUUUGUUCAAUGUGCCUUCUGUAUUCUGCCAGAAAUCGAGCUUUGGUCGAUUUCUCAUAUUUUGGUUUCAUUCCUUUGGAAAUUGAUAUCCUUUAGCUUUCUUAUUCAAUUGAGCUUUAUAUUACUGCUUUGAGUUCUUGUAUACUCUUGUCCUUAAAAUUAUUGCAUUCUUGAAAACUGUUGUGUAACGUUUAUGCUAUAUCGUAUUGACUCAUAUAGGCACAUGUAUAUCCUAUUGUUCCGCAUUUGCUUUCGAUAUGUGCCUAUUCCAGUUUCAUUCCUUUGGACAUUGAAUUCAUCAAAUCUUCUUAUUGAAUUGAGUUAUUUGUGAUUGCUUGGAUUCCAUAUGUGCCCUUGCUUUCAAUUCCCUUCAAAUCUGAAUAUACUUGUGAAAGAUUAUUGCUUACUUCGGAUUGACUCGUAAAGGCACAUGUACGUUUGUUGUUCCGCGUGUGCUUCCGAUAUAUGCUACUUAUUGUUGAAACUGCCCUUUUGUACUCUGGUGUGUGGGAUUGUCUGGACCUUUGCCAGAAAUGGUAAAGGGUAUGCGCUGAUUUGCCCGCUAUGUGGGGUCCCGCUAUGUGGGAUAUUCUGGUAUGCGCUUAUUUGCCCGCUAUGUGGGGUCCCGCUAUGUGGGAUAUUGCUUAGAGCCUGCGAUGCUCUGCCGGCCCCCUUUGACUUCACCUAGACGUGGGUGGAUGGAGCUCCCAGACGUGGGAGACUUUUGUCAGGUGGUCAUUCAGAAAUGGAUGAAUCACAUUCUGACUGAGAUCCCACUACACCUUCUGUAUGUUUGAUAUGAUAUCCAGAGCUUUGGUUAUGUGUUUCUGUACAUGCUUUGGAUAAGAUUGAUAUGUUUGCAACGUCAAAGACGACGUUUGAGCUUUUGUACGAUAUUUGUUUUCGAUAUGCUCUGAAAUGCUUCAUUCACUGAUGAUAUGCUUCGAAAUGUUCCAUAUGCCGUUGAUAUGCUCCGGAACAUUUCAUAUGCCAUUGAUAUGCUCCAAUUAAUCUGUGCUCCAUUUGCUAUGAACUGAUAUGUUCUGAAAUGUCCUAUCUGCCAUUGAUAUGUUCCAAUUACUCUGUGCUCCAUUUGCUAUGAACUGAUAUGUUCUGAAAUGUCCUAUCUGCCAUUGAUAUGUUCCAAUUACUCUGUGCUCCAUUUGUUAUGAACAGAUAUGUUCUGAAAUGUCCUAUCUGCCAUUGAUAUGUUCUAAUUACUCUAUGCCCCAUUCGUUAUGGAUCAAAUAUGUUUUUGAAAGACAUGAUACGUAUGAUUUGGUAUCUAUUGAGAUGGUAUCCUUGAGAAUUCUUGUAUUCUGCCUUGCAUUAUGAUACCUUACUCGUUUGAAACCGUUCCUUUUGUUCUGAAUAUGCUUUGUCACUUGCUGAGCCGUUUUUGGCUCACUCCGUUGUUAUAUAAAUCUUUCAGGUCAGCUUGUCACUCUUCGAGAUGUUUGAUUGGGGCUGAGGCAGUGGAUAGCUAUUCAGAAUAAUGGGCAAGUCUGGUUGGUUAUUACGAUAUUGUUGUAUAAGUAUGUCUUGUAUGUAAUGAAAUGUUGUCGAUGAACCGAAAUGGAUAUACUGUGUCAAAGUGUUAGGAGAUCUCUCUUAUUUGGAAUUUCAGAAUGUUAAGUCUAAUUUAUGGUGAUAUGAACUUGUGGUGAAUAGUUGGAGUUCUGAUUGUAUAAUUUAUUUAGCUUGUGGAUUUAUAAAUAUUGUUCAUGUUUGUCAA